UGGGGAAUAUUGCACAAUGGGCGCAAGCCUGAUGCAGCCAUGCCGCGUGUGUGAAGAAGGCCUUCGGGUUGUAAAGCACUUUCAGCGAGGAGGAAGGUGGUGAGCUUAAUACGCCCAUCAAUUGACGUUACUCGCAGAAGAAGCACCGGCUAACUCCGUGCCAGCAGCCGCGGUAAUACGGAGGGUGCAAGCGUUAAUCGGAAUUACUGGGCGUAAAGCGCACGCAGGCGGUUUGUUAAGUCAGAUGUGAAAUCCCCGGGCUCAACCUGGGAACUGCAUUUGAAACUGGCAAGCUAGGGUCUCGUAGAGGGGGGUAGAAUUCCAGGUGUAGCGGUGAAAUGCGUAGAGAUCUGGAGGAAUACCGGUGGCGAAGGCGGCCCCCUGGACGAAGACUGACGCUCAGGUGCGAAAGCGUGGGGAGCAAAACAGGAUUAGAUACCCUGGUAGUCCACGCUGUAAAACGAUGUCGAUUUUGGAGGUUGUGCCCUUGAGGCAUGGCUUCCGGAGCUAACGCGUUAAAUCGACCGCCUGGGGAGUACGGCCGCAAGGUUAAAACUCAAAGGAAUUGACGGGGUCAUAGCUGUUUCCU
rnacentral:rRNA from 1 species